AAACCCUAGAAUCCCUUGGGCUGAGAAACCAAGAGCUCCAACACCAGGAUGACCAAAGGUGGCUCUCCAUGGCAUGCCACAGUCACUCAAUAGGGCUGUCUCUUCCUGAGGAGAAGACGUA
rnacentral:snoRNA from 1 species